UACAGAGACUGCAAGCGUUAUUCGGAUUCACUGGGCGUAAAGGGUGCGCAGGCGGUCGGGUGUGUCAGAUGUGAAAUCCCGAGGCUCAACCUCGGAACUGCGUCUGAAACUACUCGACUAGAGUACUGGAGAGGGUAACGGAAUUCACGGUGUAGCAGUGAAAUGCGUAGAUAUCGUAAGGAACACCAGAGGCGAAGGCGGUUACCUGGACAGUUACUGACGCUCAGGCACGAAAGCAUGGGGGAGCAAAAGGG
rnacentral:rRNA from 1 species